UACGUAGGGGGCUAGCGUUGUCCGGAUUUAUUGGGCGUAAAGAGCGUGUAGGCGGCCAGGUAGGUCUGCUGUGAAAACUCGAGGCUCAACCUCGAGACGUCGGCGGAAACCAUCUGGCUAGAGUCCGGAAGAGGAGAGUGGAAUUCCUGGCGUAGCGGUGGAAAUGCGCAGAUAUCAGGAGGAACACCGGUGGCGAAGGCGGGUCUCUGGGCCGAUACUGACGCUGAGGAGCGAAAGCGUGGGGAGCGAACAGG
rnacentral:rRNA from 1 species